rnacentral:rRNA from 1 species
UACGGAGGAUGCAAGCGUUAUCCGGAUUCAUUGGGUUUAAAGGGUGCGUAGGCGGGGUGGCAAGUCAGUGGUGAAAUCCUACAGCUCAACUGUAGAAUUGCCAUUGAUACUGCUGCUCUUGAGUACAGUUGAUGUGGGCGGAAUGUGGCAUGUAGAGGUGAAAUUCAUAGAUAUGCCACAGAACACCAAUCGCGAAGGCAGCUCACAAAACUGUAACUGACGCUGAGGCACGAAAGCGUGGGGAGCAAACAGGAUUAGAAACCCGAGUAGU